UAAUACAUGCAAGUUGAGCGAUGAAGAUUGGUGCUUGCACCAAUUUGAAGAGCAGCGAACGGGUGAGUAACGCGUGGGGAAUCUGCCUUUGAGCGGGGGACAACAUUUGGAAACGAAUGCUAAUACCGCAUAAUAACUUUAAACAUAAGUUUUAAGUUUGAAAGAUGCAAUUGCAUCACUCAAAGAUGAUCCCGCGUUGUAUUAGCUAGUUGGUGAGGUAAAGGCUCACCAAGGCGAUGAUACAUAGCCGACCUGAGAGGGUGAUCGGCCACAUUGGGACUGAGACACGGCCCAAACUCCUACGGGAGGCAGCAGUAGGGAAUCUUCGGCAAUGGACGAAAGUCUGACCGAGCAACGCCGCGUGAGUGAAGAAGGUUUUCGGAUCGUAAAACUCUGUUGGUAGAGAAGAACGUUGGUGAGAGUGGAAAGCUCAUCAAGUGACGGUAACUACCCAGAAAGGGACGGCUAACUACGUGCCAGCAGCCGCGGUAAUACGUAGGUCCCGAGCGUUGUCCGGAUUUAUUGGGCGUAAAGCGAGCGCAGGUGGUUUAUUAAGUCUGGUGUAAAAGGCAGUGGCUCAACCAUUGUAUGCAUUGGAAACUGGUAGACUUGAGUGCAGGAGAGGAGAGUGGAAUUCCAUGUGUAGCGGUGAAAUGCGUAGAUAUAUGGAGGAACACCGGUGGCGAAAGCGGCUCUCUGGCCUGUAACUGACACUGAGGCUC
rnacentral:rRNA from 1 species